rnacentral:lncRNA from 1 species
CAUUAGCUUGAAUCUUGUCUGGGUCCUUGCUAGAAUCAUCAAGGUAUGUUUUUGAUGGUUGUAAAAAAGGUUUCUAAGACAGUUCAAACUUUUGGCAUUCAGCCAAAUAUUGGACGCAACAUCAACUAUUUAGUUGUAGUUCAUAGAGGACAUGAAAGACUGUAAUUCAUGACCCAAUAAAAUUUACCAUAGACCCUUAUGGUCUUGCAACUGGCACUCAAAUACUUAUAUUAAGAAGCAAUGAAAAUGGUCUAUAAACUUGAAUUAUGAGUAAACAGUGAAGUUUGUUGAUGUCAUAAACCAUUAUACUUUAUUUAUAAUUAUUAACAUAUAUGUAAACAUAUACUUGUUUGUUCUUGUACCAUAGCUGUACUGUAUCCUAUUUCUUUAAGAUUUGACAGAUCGGUGUAUCGUAUUGUGUCUUAUUUGUAUCUCAUAUCUAUACUCAUGCUUCAUGGUCAAGGAUAUUUUCAUUCCUUUUUCUUGAGACCACCCUUGUGAAGAGUUUUAGCAUCAACUUCAGGCAAGUAAUUCCAUCCACCUC